CGAAAGGCUCUUUUCAGAGCCACCCACGCCUUCACUAAAGAGCUUG
rfam:Myotis brandtii contig219004, whole genome shotgun sequence.